GUGAACGCUGGCGGUAGGCCUAACACAUGCAAGUCGAACGGCAGCACAGUAAGAGCUUGCUCUUACGGGUGGCGAGUGGCGGACGGGUGAGGAAUACAUCGGAAUCUACUUUUUCGUGGGGGAUAACGUAGGGAAACUUACGCUAAUACCGCAUACGACCUACGGGUGAAAGCAGGGGAUCUUCGGACCUUGCGCGAUUGAAUGAGCCGACGUCGGAUUAGCUAGUUGGCGGGGUAAAGGCCCACCAAGGCGACGAUCCGUAGCUGGUCUGAGAGGAUGAUCAGCCACACUGGAACUGAGACACGGUCCAGACUCCUACGGGAGGCAGCAGUGGGGAAUAUUGGACAAUGGGCGCAAGCCUGAUCCAGCCAUACCGCGUGGGUGAAGAAGGCCUUCGGGUUGUAAAGCCCUUUUGUUGGGAAAGAAAAGCAGCAGGUUAAUACCCCGCUGUUCUGACGGUACCCAAAGAAUAAGCACCGGCUAACUUCGUG
rnacentral:rRNA from 1 species